rnacentral:rRNA from 1 species
AUCCGCCUACCGCUGAAGAUCCGGAUCUUCAUGUGGCAGUUUAUUCGUGGUCAACUCCCCUCUGGGGUGGAGGUUCUGAAACGCAGCGGCCCUGGGGAUGGGUUGUGCCCCCUCUGUGACACGGCGGAGGACGCCAACCACAUCUUCUUCUCCUGCGUUGCGGCUCAGUUCUUGUGGACCUACUUCUGGAAAGUGGUCGGUGGUCGUUGGUGUAACACCAACUUCCCGGACUUAUUGGCGGAAAUGCACGCCUCCGCUCCUGCCACAUUAGGUGGCUAUGCAUUGGGGUGCUUACCUGGAUGCUUUGGACCAUCCACAAUAAGCUUGUCAUUCAAUGUACCCCUCUCCGACGUGCGACUGACACGAUCUUCAAAAUGUGUGGUUACUUGCAGCUUUGGCGGCCGCUUAGCCGCACCAGGACUGGGACGCCAUCGACAUCCUCCUCGCCGACCUUCGUGCGAUGGCCUUCCGAGUGGCGCCUCCUCUUCCGCCUCCACCCCCGGAGCCCGACUAGUCCCGCGGCCUGCUACCUCUUGA